rnacentral:rRNA from 1 species
GGAAGGGGUGUAUUUAUUAGAUAAAAAACCAAUGCCCUUCGGGGCUCCUUGGUGAAUCAUAAUAACUUAACGAAUCGCAUGGCCUUGCGCCGGCGAUGGUUCAUUCAAAUCUCUGCCCUAUCAACUUUCGAUGGUAGGAUAGUGACCUACCAUGGUAUCAACGGGUAACGGGGAAUUAGGGUUCGAUUCCGGAGAGGGAGCCUGAGAAACGGCUACCACAUCCAAGGAAGGCAGCAGGCGCGCAAAUUACCCAAUCCCGACACGGGGAGGUAGUGACAAUAAAUACUGAUCCAGGGCUCUUUUGGGUCUUGGAAUUGGAAUGAGUACAAUUUAAAUCUCUUAACGAGGAACAAUUGGAGGGCAAGUCUGGUGCCAGCAGCCGCGGUAAUUCCAGCUCCAAUAGCGUAUAUUAAAGUUGUUGCAGUUAAAAAGCUCGUAGUUGAAACUUGGGCCUGGCUGGCGGGUCCGCCUCACCGCGAGCACUCGUCCGGCCGGGCCUUCCUUAUGAAGAACCUCAUGCCCUUCAAUGGGUGUGCUGGGGAACCAGGACUUUUCC